UACAGAGGUCCCAAGCGUUGUUCGGAUUCACUGGGCGUAAAGGGUGCGUAGGCGGUCGGGUAAGUCUGAUGUGAAAUCUCACAGCUUAACUGUGAAACUGCAUUGGAUACUAUCCGGCUAGAGGAAUGGAGGGGAGACUGGAAUACUUGGUGUAGCAGUGAAAUGCGUAGAUAUCAAGUGGAACACCAGUGGCGAAGGCGGCUCACUGGCCCGGUACUGACGCUGAGGUGCGAAAGCGUGGGGAGCAAACAGG
rnacentral:rRNA from 1 species